rnacentral:snoRNA from 1 species
UCUAUGUGAUGAAUCUUUACAAUCAGUUCUGCUUCCGAACGGAGGGCGACCUCUUGUGGAUACCCAUAUACCAAAACUCUCAAAUCUGACUC